rnacentral:rRNA from 1 species
AUUGAACGCUGGCGGCAGGCCUAACACAUGCAAGUCGAACGAGUGGCGGACGGGUGAGUAAUGUCUGGGAAACUGCCUGAUGGAGGGGGAUAACUACUGGAAACGGUAGCUAAUACCGCAUACCAUCGGAUGUGCCCAGAUGGGAGUAGCUUGUGGGUGGGGUAAAGGCUCACCAAGGCGACGAGCCGUAGCUGGUCUGAGAGGAUGACCAGCCACACUGGAACUGAGACACGGUCCAGACGCCUACGGGAGGAAGCAGUGGGGAAUAUUGCACAAUGGGAGAAAGCCGGAUGCAGUCAUGCCGCGUGUAUGAAGAAGGGCUUAGGGUUGUAAAGUACUAUCAGCGGGGAGGCGUUACCCGCAGAAGAAGCACCGGCUAACUCCGUGCCAGCAGCCGCGGUAAUAC